AGUGAACGCUGGCGGUAGGCCUAACACAUGCAAGUCGAACGGCAGCACAGUAAGAGCUUGCUCUUACGGGUGGCGAGUGGCGGACGGGUGAGGAAUACAUCGGAAUCUACUUUUUCGUGGGGGAUAACGUAGGGAAACUUACGCUAAUACCGCAUACGACCUACGGGUGAAAGCAGGGGAUCUUCGGACCUUGCGCGAUUGAAUGAGCCGAUGUCGGAUUAGCGAGUUGGCGGGGUAAAGGCCCACCAAGGCGACGAUCCGUAGCUGGUCUGAGAGGAUGAUCAGCCACACUGGAACUGAGACACGGUCCAGACUCCUACGGGAGGCAGCAGUGGGGAAUAUUGGACAAUGGGCGCAAGCCUGAUCCAGCCAUACCGCGUGGGUGAAGAAGGCCUUUGGGUUGUAAAGCCCUUUUGUUGGGAAAGAAAAGCAGCAGGUUAAUACCCCGCUGUUCUGACGGUACCCAAAGAAUAAGCACCGGCUAACUUCGUG
rnacentral:rRNA from 1 species